GUGAGUGUGAAGGGAAAAUGAAGCAAAGUAGAUAGACAGAAAAAGAAGGGUGAAUGGGGCUACUUCCAAUAGAACAGAGAGGAAAGGUCUUGGAUAAUGUGACAUUUGAGCAAAGCUCUGAAUGGAGUGAGAUCUGGGAGCAGCAAGUCCAAGUGUCCUGAGGUGAGAGUCCAACUGACUGGAGCCAAAGUUCUGGGCUGGGAAUGAAGAAUUUGCUAGAAAAACACACACCAAUAAAUCACAGGUGAAGAAGCUGAGGCCUGGAAAAGCUCAAGGUCAAGCAAGUAUAAACGGAAGAGCCAAGGCUCUGGUACCAUGGCUUCAGUUGUGUUUUCUCUGACCUGGUUAAGAGCAGCGGUCCCACUGUAAAGACUUCCUAGUUAUUUAUCACCCUCACAUGUAUUAUUUGAACCAAGUAGCCAUAUUGAAAGUUGGCAUAAUCAC